AUGGAUUUCGUCGAGGGUUUGCCCAAGUCUGACGGCUACGACACCAUCACGGUGGUGGUUGAUCGCUUCACCAAGCUCGCACAUUUUGUGCCAUUGCGACAUCCGUUCACGGCCACUCAGGUGGCAAGGGCGUUUUGGGACAACAUCGUCAAACUUCACGGCAUUUCUGCAUCCAUUGUGUCAGACCACGACACGGUGUUCACCAGUACACUCUGGCGCGAGCUGCUUGCCGGCGCUGGCACCAAGCUUCUGUACUCCAUGGCGUACCACCCGCAGACUGACGGACAGAGAGAGCGUGUGAAUCAAUGUAUGGAGAUGUAUCUGCGCUGUGCCAUCCACGACACUCCGCGUCAAUGGCGCCGCUGGCUGCCAUCAGCUGAAUUCUGGUAUAACUCCUCCUUCCACUCGUCGUUGGGUUGCUCUCCAUUCAAAGCACUGUACGGGGUGGAGGCGAAUGAGGGGAGCAUGGCCACCUGGCCAGCAACUCAAGCUACCUUGCCGGAUGGUGAACAGUGGGACUGGGCAGUGCAUAAGGAAAACUUGCAAGCACAGUUGACUCGAGCGCAGACUAAGUACAAGAAGUUUGCAGACAGGAAUCGCAUAGAGCGUGUUUUUCAAGUUGGGGAGCAAGUGCUGCUAAAACUCCAACCCUAUGUGCAGAAAUCGGUGGCCAGCCGACCGUGCGCCAAGUUGGCAUUCAAGUUCUUCGGUCCAUUCAUCAUCAGCGCCAAGAUUGGUCCCUCGGCUUACAAGUUGGAGUUGCCGCCUGACAGUCGCAUUCAUCCUGUGUUCCAUGUGUCCCAACUGAAGCCUUUCACACCAAUUAUACACCAGCGUUCUCUAAACUGCCUGCCAUGGACUUAUCCGCUGUGGACUCUCAACCGGUCGAGAUUUUGGACAAGAGAAUGA
rnacentral:rRNA from 1 species